rnacentral:rRNA from 1 species
AGUGAACGCUGGCGGUAGGCCUAACACAUGCAAGUCGAACGGCAGCACAGUAAGAGCUUGCUCUUACGGGUGGCGAGUGGCGGACGGGUGAGGAAUACAUCGGAAUCUACUUUUUCGUGGGGGAUAACGUAGGGAAACUUACGCUAAUACCGCAUACGACCUACGGGUGAAAGCAGGGGAUCUUCGGACCUUGCGCGAUUGAAUGAGCCGAUGUCGGAUUAGCUAGUUGGCGGGGUAAAGGCCCACCAAGGCGACGAUCCGUAGCCGGUCUGAGAGGAUGGUCAGCCACACUGGAACUGAGACACGGUCCAGGCUCCUACGGGAGGCAGCAGUGGGGAAUAUUGGACAAUGGGCGCAAGCCUGAUCCAGCCAUACCGCGUGGGUGAAGAAGGCCUUCGGGUUGUAAAGCCCUUUUGUUGGGAAAGAAAAGCAGCAGGUUAAUACCCCGCUGUUCUGACGGUACCCAAAGAAUAAGCACCGGCUAACUUCGUG